CUGUGCAAAACCAGCAGGCCCACUGCUUCAGCUCUCUCAGUGACAACAGGGGACAACAAUUAACAGAUCUGUGCAACCACACUAAAAUAGUAGUAACGGCUCAAGGAAGAAGAAGGAUUCUGAAGAUUCUGUUCCUGUUGAUACUCUGUCUGCAAGACUUCACUGGUCAAUGCCAAGUGUGGUGUGAUAACAUUACUUGUUGUGAGAGUCUCCUUAACCCCGGCAGAGCUGAAAUGGAAGUGCGUCUGACCAGUCCCACUAUGGAGAAGCCAGAGGAGUAUCAGCAAAGGAUUAUGGGAGAAAUAGUCCAGAGCCAAAUGCAGGGAUACUACAAAAAUAAACUGGUCAGAGCUGCACAGAGCGAUCCUGUUUUCCUGAAACCUACAGUGGUGCGGUCCAAUGAGGUGGAGGAGAGGGAGCGCUACAGAUUCCAGUGGAGGAAGGAGGACAGGCAAAGAAUCGUCGGUGACAGAUUGGAGCUCUUCGUCGCCAUAGUGACAGGGUUGUUGAUGGGGGUCCUGACAGGUGGUUUUGGGGGUGUUGUCAUGGGAGGGUUGACGGGGGCGGUGAUAUGGUUUACAACAGGACUGGUCAGGAACUGGUGGAGCCCCUGACUCACUAGGAGGCACCAUGUGUAGGCUAUGAAUCUAUUUUUUAUAAAGACAUUGGGAGGAUAAAACUAUUCUAAUGUGUAUAGAUGGAAGGACUU